UACGUAGGGUGCAAGCGUUAAUCGGAAUUACUGGGCGUAAAGCGUGCGCAGGCGGUUUUGUAAGGCAGGUGUGAAAUCCCCGGGCUUAACCUGGGAACUGCAUUUGUGACUGCAAGGCUGGAGUGCGGCAGAGGGGGAUGGAAUUCCGCGUGUAGCAGUGAAAUGCGUAGAUAUGCGGAGGAACACCGAUGGCGAAGGCAAUCCCCUGGGCCUGCACUGACGCUCAUGCACGAAAGCGUGGGGAGCAAACAGG
rnacentral:rRNA from 1 species